rnacentral:lncRNA from 1 species
ACUGAAUCUCUUCACACCCAUGACUCGUAUAAAUUGGCACUGUAUCAUCAACCCUCUUUUUGAUCAAAACAACUACAAUGAAAUUAAUUGAAUUAUGAAUGUUGAAAUCUCACAAGAAAAGGAUGAGAAUCAAUUGUAUAAUGAACCUAUUAGUAAUACAUCAUACCAAUUAAAUGGAUUAUAACAAGAACGACAACUAAAGACUCACUUCUAUAUUACCAAAAAAGCAACUAACCAACCUAAAUUAUAUUAUUAAUUUCAAGAAAGCCAACCAUGAAGAACUUUUAUCAAACAGUUUACGUGCACUCUAUAAAAUUAAAAAAUAAGUGAAAAAGCUUACCUCAAACGAUUCUUUGCUUGUUGUUACUCCCUUCCUUUAACAAUCAACCACCACUACAUGCACUUAUUCAUCUAACGAGUCCUAUAAAGAACACAAUCUUUUUACUGAAAAAUCAGUUCAUUCAUAUGAAGAAUGAAACCCUGAGUAGAGAAAUUGUUUCAAACCCUAAGUUGAAAGUGAAAUGAAAAUUGGGGUUCGAAAUUUUUUGAAACUGAAUAAAUCAGAUUGAAAGUGAAAUGAAAAUUGGGGUUCGAAAUUAAGGUUUAACGAAACUGAAACAUUACCUGGUGUGAGAUGCGAGUCUUCACAAACUGAGGCCAGAGAAGUGGUGGAUAGUUUCGCCAGCGGGACGGAGGAAGAGAAGCCUUAUUUUCUCAGAUGGCAGACGAUUUCUCCGACAGCGGACACGGUGGGUGACGUACGAUUUCUCGUUUUCUCUUUUCUUUGGGAAGCAAUUAAAAANNNNNNNNNNNNNNNNNNNNNNGGAGUUGUUUCUUCUCUACUUGUUUAUUUUCCCAAAUUUUAAAAAAAUAUAAAAAAAAAUAUAUAAAAUAAAUACAAUAAAAUUAUAAUAUGCUUA